GAACUCAUUCAUCUCAGCUCUACAAAUUCAAGUUUCUGGCACUGAAGGGUUCAUCCUUCUACAUUUUCAGCACUCCACCGGUAAGCACACUAGACUGGGUACGAGCUGAAAAAAUCUAUAACCUCUGUGAGGUUCUGUUUAAAAUUCACAAGCUCUGGCUUGCUGAUGAUUGCUGGCUACAAGCAAACUUGUAUUUAGGUAUUCAUCAAGACUAUGAUCUUGAAGACCAGAGGCCAUAUUGUUUCAGUGUUAUGGUUGGACAUGGCAAGAGUCAUUAUUUCAAUGUAGAGCUUGGCAUUGAGUUGGCAGUGUGGGAGAAAUCUUUUCAAAGAGCAAUUUUCUUGGAAGUUCAAAGAACAGGGGUAAGUAAUGAAUAAUUUGAAUCCUGGAGCCAUUUCAUCAGUAAAAUAUUCUGU